UGUCGGCGACCGGCGUACGGGUGCGUAACGCGUAUGCAACCUACCCAUUACAGGGGGAUAACACUGAGAAAUCGGUACUAAUACCCCAUAACAUCCAGGGAGGCAUCUUCUUGGGUUGAAAACUCCGGUGGUAAUGGAUGGGCAUGCGUUGUAUUAGUUAGUUGGUGGGGUAACGGCUCACCAAGACAACGAUACAUAGGGGGACUGAGAGGUUAACCCCCCCACAUUGGUACUGAGACACGGACCAGACUCCUACGGGAGGCAGCAG
rnacentral:rRNA from 1 species